rnacentral:rRNA from 1 species
GACGAACGCUGGCGGCUCGCUUAACACAUGCAAGUCGAACGGAAAGGCCUGCUUUCCCUUGUGGAUUGCGGGUACUCGAGUGGCGAACGGGUGAGUAACACGUGAGUGAUCUGCCCCCAACUUGGGUAUAAGCCUGGGAAACUGGGUCUAAUUCCCGAUAGGACUGCAGGGUGGUGCCUGUGGUGGAAAACGAUUUUCUAGUGGUUGGGGAUGAGCUCGCGGCCUAUCAGCUUGUUGGUGGGGUAAUGGCCUACCAAGGCGGCGACGGGUAGCCGGCCUGAGAGGGUGGACGGCCACAUUGGGACUGAGAUACGGCCCAGACUCCUACGGGAGGCAGCAGUGGGGAAUAUUACACAAUGGGCGGAAGCCUGAUGCAGCGACGCCGCGUGGGGGAUGACGGCCUUCGGGUUGUAAACUCCUUUCGACCGCGAGGAAGCCACCUGGUUGGAAGGGUGGUGACGGUAGUGGUAGAAGAAGCACCGGCUAACUACGUG